rnacentral:lncRNA from 1 species
AGAUACCUUAAGACUAUGAUUGUUUCCUGGAAGUAACAGCAGGUUUAGCAUGGACAUGUACUAAAAAGAAGAGCUCCUCAGUAUGCUGCUUUGGACAUGGAUGGAUUAAAGGUUCACUGCACACUGACAGGCCCAAAUCUGCAUGAGAAUGUCGCCUUGGCAGCUUGCUGCAGCCCGUCACUGCRGCACAGCCGUAGCAUCAGUUCGGCUCUGCAACCAGGGUAUUGUUUGGUGUUGGAAAAUCCCUCCCUCCCGCUGAGAAGUGGCUCCAUGGCAGCCCGUGAAUAUUACUCCACCAGCCAAGCUCAGUCUGCAAAUGACGUYGUGAGUCACUGCACUCCCCGCAAGUCUGCAGUCCCCAGAAUGUGCAUCUGUCUGCCCGUGGCAACUGCUUGGGGCUGGUGUGAUGCUUGGCAAGUUCAGCUGACUCCGAGUGGCCUCGUACCUGAAUUAUCUCCUGUCAAGCAUCAAGUCAAGUAUGAGUGAAACUGCAAAUGGGAGUCUAUUAAAGUUUCACGUUUCUCCACUGGAAUGCCAUAGAUUAGAGAAGUUUUCAGAAGACACUGAUUGCUGAAUAUGGAGCUCUGUAAUGCAUUAUCUUUUCCUCUGUGAUAAUAAAACUUUGUCUUUAGUCA